rnacentral:rRNA from 1 species
UACGUAGGGGGCGAGCGUUGUCCGGAUUUAUUGGGCGUAAAGAGCUCGUAGGCGGUUUGGUAAGUCGGGUGUGAAAUCUCCACGCUCAACGUGGAGGGGCCACUCGAUACUGCCAUGACUCGAGUCCGGUAGAGGAGUGUGGAAUUCCCGGUGUAGCGGUGAAAUGCGCAGAUAUCAGGAAGAACACCCGUGGCGAAGGCGGCUCUCUGGUACGUGACUGACGCUGAGACGCGAAAGCGUGGGGAGCGAACAGG